ACACAACUACAUUAGAUACCCGGGUAGUCCUAGCCGUAAACGAUACUCGCUAGGUGUCGGCCACGGUGCGACCGUUGUCGGUGCCGUAGGGAAGCCGUGAAGCGAGCCACCUGGGAAGUACGGCCGCAAGGCUGAAACUUAAAGGAAUUGCGGGGGAGCACAACAACGGGUGGAGCUUGCGGUUUAAUUGGAUUCAACGCCGGAAAUCUUACCGGGACCGACAGCAACAUGAAGGCCAAGCUGAAGACUUUGCCGGAUUUAGCUG
rnacentral:rRNA from 1 species